CCCCCCCCCACAAGAGACGGGCCCGGCGCUGAGUUGGGGGGGAGCCCGGGUGGGGCUGCCGCCUCCUUGCACCGCGCCCCGGGAGGUUGGUUCACCUGUCCGACUCGUUCCUCUUCUCCGAGCUCCCUCGCCCUCCUGCCUUUGCACCGCCCGGGGCAACGGCGCGGGGUGCGCGGGCUGUUUUAUUGCAUUUAUUUAUUUAUUUAUCCCUCCCGGAGCCAGUGCGAGUUUUAUGUUUUAAUAACUUUAUCAACUCGGCGAACUUGCGCGAGGGCACAGGCAGCUUCUCUUGCCCUCCCUCCUCCUCCCCUCCCCCCGCCCCCACCAAUCUCUAACUGGCCUCUGGGUCCCUUCCAAAAGGGGCUUCCUUCCAGUUCUCCUUCUUACGGCUUCACCACUGGUGUGGUCAACACAGCAGGCAAAAUUAACCCGACUAAAGUGUUUGAUCUACAGAUAAGAUACUCCUAUGCAUUUUGCAAGUUCAGUUUAGGAUGACCUGCACUGAUACCUGUUUUCACUAACUGGAAGAGAUCUGAAGAGGACUUUUGCUCUUAGGAGGACAGACCUUCAUCAAAGCUGCUGCAGGUCCAUCAGCUUCGUUCCCCUGGAACUAAAGAGCCUUGUAAGAACUUCACGAGGACCAUUCAUCCAGGGAGUCCUCAACCUCAGUUCUCACAGUCAGUCGUACCCACACCACCAGGUUGACUGCCAGAAAAUGCAGCUCUAGCCAUGUGAGUCCCUUGCUCUUCGCGGGCUCCCUGCAGCCUUCUGAUACAGACAGAAGAUGGAGAUCUGAGAGGCUUACAGGAGAAAAAGUUAAGGAGCCCGUCAAGAAGAGGAUGGACAGACCAAAGAAAACAGCCCACGGCAGCAGACACCUGAGAUACAGAUACUUUAAGAGUUGGCUGUGAGCUCUCACGUCCCACUCCUUGAGUCUAAGAUAGGUCUCCUUUUAAACAACUGCAAGAACCAACUAACCAGUGCUCCUGCCUCCAGACCUGCCAGCUCACUGCCAAGUAUUCUUUCCUGAACCGCAAACCUGGAUAUGUAUCGUCCUUGUCCACUUUGUGACUCCCCUAAGGUCCAGACUCUUUAGCUGGCAUAUGAG
ensembl:lncRNA